AGUGAACGCUGGCGGUAGGCCUAACACAUGCAAGUCGAACGGCAGCACAGUAAGAGCUUGCUCUUACGGGUGGCGAGUGGCGGACGGGUGAGGAAUACAUCGGAAUCUACUUUUUCGUGGGGGAUAACGUAGGGAAACUUACGCUAAUACCGCAUACGACCUACGGUUGAAAGCAGGGGAUCUUCGGACCUUGCGCGAUUGAAUGAGCCGAUGUCGGAUUAGCUAGUUGGCGGGGUAAAGGCCCACCAAGGCGACGAUCCGUAGCUGGUCUGAGAGGAUGAUCAGCCACACUGGAACUGAGACACGGUCCAGACUCCGACGGGAGGCAGCAGUGGGGAAGAUUGGACAAUGGGCGCAAGCCUGAUCCAGCCAUACCGCGUGGGUGAAGAAGGCCUGCGUGUUGUAAAGCCCUUUUGUUGGGAAAGAAAAGCAGCAGGUUAAAACCCCGCUGUUCUGACGGUACCCAAAGAAUAAGCACCGGCUAACUUCGG
rnacentral:rRNA from 1 species